GACGAACGCUGGCGGCGUGCCUAAUACAUGCAAGUUGAGCGCUGAAGGUUGGUACUUGUACCAACUGGAUGAGCAGCGAACGGGUGAGUAACGCGUGGGGAAUCUGCCUUUGAGCGGGGGACAACAUUUGGAAACGAAUGCUAAUACCGCAUAAAAACUUUAAACACAAGUUUUAAGUUUGAAAGAUGCAAUUGCAUCACUCAAAGAUGAUCCCGCGUUGUAUUAGCUAGUUGGUGAGGUAAAGGCUCACCAAGGCGAUGAUACAUAGCCGACCUGAGAGGGUGAUCGGCCAGAUUGGGACUGAGACACGGCCCAAACUCCUACAGGAGGCAGCAGUAGGGAAUCUUCGGGAAUGGAGGAAAGUCGGACCGAGCAACGCCGCGUGAGUGAAGAAGGUUUUCGGAUCGUAAAACUCUGUUGGUAGAGAAGAACGUUGGUGAGAGUGGAAAGCUCAUCAAGUGACGGUAACUACCCAGAAAGGGACGGCUAACUACGUG
rnacentral:rRNA from 1 species